rnacentral:rRNA from 1 species
CGUCGUGACUGCGUGCCUUUUGAAGAAUGAGCCUGCGAGUUUGCGGCAUGUUGCGAGGUUAACCCGUGUGGGGGAGCCGUAGCGAAAGCGAGUCCGAAGAGGGCGGUCUGAGUAGCGUGUUCAAGACCCGAAGCGGAGUGAUCUAGCCAUGGGCAGGGUGAAGCGGAGGUAAGACUUCGUGGAGGCCCGAACCCACCAGGGUUGAAAACCUGGGGGAUGACCUGUGGUUAGGGGUGAAAGGCCAAUCAAACUCCGUGAUAGCUGGUUCUCCCCGAAAUGCAUUUAGGUGCAGCGUCGUGUGUUUCUUGCCGGAGGUAGAGCACUGGAUAGGCGAUGGGCCCUACCGGGUUACUGACCUUAGCCAAACUCCGAAUGCCGGUAAGUGAGAGCGCGGCAGUGAGACUGUGGGGGAUAAGCUCCAUGGUCGAGAGGGAAACAGCCCAGAGCAUCGACUAAGGCCCCUAAGCGUGUGCUAAGUGGGAAAGGAUGUGGAGUCGCAGAGACAACCAGGAGGUUGGCUUAGAAGCAGCCAUCCUUGAAAGAGUGCGUAAUAGCUCACUGGUCAAGUGAUUCCGCGCCGACAAUGUAGCGGGGCUCAAGCACACCGCCGACGUCGUGUCACUCCAACGUGAAGGGCUAACGCCUGUUGGGGUGGGUAGGGGAGCGUCGUGUGCCGGGUGAAGCAGCACCGGAAGGUAGUUGUGGACGGUAUGCGAGUGAGAAUGCAGGCAUGAGUAGCGAUACAUGCGUGAGAAACGUGUGCGCCGAUUGACUAAGGGUUCCUGGGUCAAGCUGAUCUGCCCAGGGUAAGUCGGG